UAUCAAGCUCUUCUCCCCAUCCUGUAAAGAUACAAAUAUAUUAAGGAAAUAAUCUUAGAACAAAACAAAGGGGAUAAACUACUGCUUAGUAGAAGGCACCCUGGCCAGAUCUAGUUUCUGGUCUGGCCUCACUUCUGGCCAAAUAUCCUCAGGAGGUGAAAUGGGAUUGUCUCCUCAAGAAAUUAGAGUUUCACGGAAAUUGUGAUAUUGGGCUAAGACCAUCACCACCACCACCACAAUACAUCAACAUUGUUUGAGAUGGGUGUUUUCCCUAGAAGAGCUUUCUUCAGCAACAAUUGGGCCUCACCUCAUUUUUCUGCUUAAGAAGAAUCUUCAAGAUCUUCUCUGUGAAAAAGAAAAGAUAAAAGCCCCCAAACACCACUGCAGACUUGGAGACAUAAUAAUCUUCCAGAGGGUUGAAACCAAAUGCCUGUGGACCCAGGAAAAGAAAAUGAGUUUUAAAGAAAAUAAAGCAUCUUUACUGAUCCCCCUCUUAUCUCUUAACUACUUCCUUGACUCUAGGAAAGGAGAGAGGCAUAAUGGAGUAACUCUGCCGUCUACCCAUCCUCUUUCCAGCAAAAAUCUAGUCCUUGGUGUUUCCCUGAUGUGACAUCACUAAACCUGCCAGGUUCUUCUCAAGCUUAUUUGCUGAUGCAAAAGACUGAUCAUCUGUAGAAUUUUAAUCCCAGAAAGAAAAACCUCCGAUAUGGUUUUCCACUUUUGAUUUAUCUUGGUGCUUUGCUAUGAAGGCAUUCUCUGCCAAUAGAUUUCAUAUUGAAGGAGCAGACACUUGUAUUUAUUUUCAUCUUAUCUAGUGUUCCUGGCUGACCUGCCUGUAAACACAAAGGGAGAUGGUGUAAUUAUACUUUCUAAAACGGGAAACCCAUUUCCCAGUUAAGUAAUAAGAACUGCAGCGUUUUCCUAACCGCAGACCUCCCAGUGACCACAGAACCAAGAAAGUGGACUGUGUUAUUGCGAGCGUCAAUUUUUGGGUUUUGUUUUGAGUCCUUUCUGAAACUGUCACUUAUCAAAGAGGGAGGGGAGAAUCCACUGGGAAGAGGACAGGAGUAGAAAUCAAGAGAAUUCUGUCCUAGGGUAAGCUCCUGAUUUAUGGUGGGUUCUUGUGAAUGUGUCUAAUGACCUGGCCGGGCACGGUGGCUCAUGCACUUUAAAGGACCGAGGUGGGUGGAUCACUUGAGGCCAGGAGUUUUGAGACCAGCCUGGCCAACAUGGCGAAACCCCAACUCUACUAAAAAAAAAAAUACAAAAAUUAGCUGGGCCUGGUGGCACACCUGUAAUCCCAGCUACUCGGGAGUGUGAGGCAGGAGAAUGGCUUGAACCCAGGAGGCAGAGAUUGCAGUGAGCCGAGAUGGCACCACUGCACUCCAGUCUGGGUGACAGAGUGAGACUGUCUCAAAAACAAACAAAAAAAAGUAUCUAACGACUUGCUCCUAUUUUAUUCUUAAAUUUUUUUGUGGGUACAUAGGAAGUAUAUAUAUUUACCGGGUUGUUCCUCCAUUUUCUGAUGGGAAACGGGCCUUGAAUAAACUUCAGCCCUCUCAUGAAUUGGUCCAAAAUAAAAGUUGAUCCCAACUUCAAGGAACUCUGGGCUGUUUGUUGCCUUUAUGUUUUAAACAGGCCAAAUUGAAUCACCACCCUCCAGGGAAACAACACUUUCAUGUUGACUUUCCAGGGGAGUCGAAUCAUCUUGGGGGAAAAGUGAAGUGAAAAUAGGCAACGAACACUUCUCUGCAAAAAGCCACAAAGGAUGGUGAAUACAGAAUCAUGGGGUUGAGCUUCAGAAAUCCCAAAAGCUGGGUUCUCGACUCAGGGAUAUGCGCUCUUGUGCAGGUCAGAUUCCAACGUGGUAAAACGUUACUUGUUCUAUCGAUGCCAUGGAGUUAACCUAAGGAUCCACUAGGAGGGAGCCAACUGACAUUUCAGAAAACACCAAGUGUUGUAAGAGGCGCAUGCAGUCAUCUCUGCUUCAACUGCGGCUCUGUCCAGGCCUGCGAGACCACCCACAGGGAGACGUCCUGUGCUUAUUGUAAUUAAUGGGUCUGCUGAGGGGAUUACACCAAAUUAGAUGAACCAUCAGCUCCUUCUUUUGUGGCAAGUUUUCUCAUGAACUUAUUAGGCAAAGGUACCAUCAAGGUAUAUAAAACCAGACAUUGUUUGACUUGCAUUGCCUUUGCCCCAAAACUCCCUAUGGACAAUCUUUUUACUGAGAACUGUGGGUUCUGAUGAUGUGGGAGUUUGUUUGUUUGUUUUGAGACGGAGUCUCACUCCCGUCACCCAGGCUGGAGUGCAGUGGUGCAAUCUCGGCUCACUGCAGCCUCCAUCUCCUGGGUUCAAGUGAUUCUUGUGCCUCCCGAAUAGCUGGGAUUACAGGCGUGCGCUACCACGUCUGGCUAAUUUUUGUGUUUUUAGUAUAGACGGGGUUUCACCAUGUUGGCCAGGCUGGUCUUGAACUCCUGACUUCAAACGAUCCACCUGCCUCAGCCUCCCAAAGUGCUGGGAAUAUAGGUGUGAGCCACUGCACCCGGCUGAUGAUGUUUUUUAAACUUCUCUGCACCCAAAGCCUUAAUCUGAGCACCACAACUAAGCCAGAGUGAGCUCGCUACACUGCAUCUUUUCACCCCACAUCAGACAGCACUUUCCGCACCAGGCACUCAGUGCUGCAGCAGACUCGCUCGUUCCACCCUCACAACAUCAUCCUGAGGCCGGUCUAUUGCUCUCCCCAUUUCACAUCUGAAGAAACAGAGGCAGUGUGAGGUCAGUGGUGUGCCUGGGGUUACGGAACCUACUGAUAGCAGAGCUGAGAUUUGAACCCAGCUCUUCAGCCUAUGCUGGGCUGCCUCUCCUAGUUCACGCCUAAGUUCUAGCUUCGCUUUCCAAAAGGAAAGGGCCUCCAGGUGCCCUCUCUAUGCCUUCUAUCCAAACGGAGGUCCUCCCACUGUGCCCGCCGGCAUGCUCCGGGGUGAAGGCCCUGGCUUGCCAUACCUCCGGGAUGAGCUGGAAGAGGGCGUUGGAGUAGAGGGUUCCAAUCGCCAGAGCUAUGAAGUAGAGCAGCAGCCUCUUGUAAAAGGUCUUCUUC
rnacentral:lncRNA from 1 species